rnacentral:rRNA from 1 species
AGUGAACGCUGGCGGCAGGCCUAAUACAUGCAAGUCGAACGGCAGCACAGCAGAGCUUGCUCUGUGGGUGGCGAGUGGCGGACGGGUGAGGAAAACAUGGGAAUCUGCCCAGUCGUGGGGGAUAACGUAGGGAAACUUACGCUAAUACCGCAUGCGCCCGUCGGGGGAAAGCCGGGGACCGUAAGGCCUGGCGCGAUUGGAUGAGCCCAUGUCGGAUUAGCUAGUUGGCGGGGUAAUGGCCCACCAAGGCGACGAUCCGUAGCUGGUCUGAGAGGAUGAUCAGCCACACUGGAACUGAGACACGGUCCAGACUCCUACGGGAGGCAGCAGUAGGGAAUAUUGGACAAUGGGCGCAAGCCUGAUCCAGCCAUGCCGCGUGAGUGAAGAAGGCCCUCGGGUUGUAAAGCUCUUUUGUCCGGAAAGAAAAGCGCCGGGUUAAUACCCUGGUGUCCUGACGGUACCGGAAGAAUAAGCACCGGCUAACUUCGUGCCAGCAGCCGCGGUAACAC